rnacentral:rRNA from 1 species
AGCAGCCGCGGUAAUUCCAGCUCCAAUAGCGUAUAUUAAAGUUGCUGCAGUUAAAAAGCUCGUAGUUGAAUUUCGGGAUCAAUAUGUCGGUCGUGCCUCGGUACGUACUGGCUUAUUGGUUUCUCCCUUCUGACGAACCAUGAUGUCAUUAAUUUGGUGUCAUGGGAAAUCAGGACUGUUACUUUGAAAAAUUAGAGUGUUUAAAGCAGGCUCACGCUUGAAUACAUUAGCAUGGAAUAAUGAAAUAGGACGUUUGAUUCCAUUUUGUUGGUUUCUAGGAUCGACGUAAUGAUUAAUAGGGAUAGUUGGGGGCAUUAGUAUUCAAUUGUCAGAGGUGAAAUUCUUGGAUUUAUUGAAGACUAACUACUGCG